rnacentral:misc_RNA from 1 species
CAUAGGUCCGACAACCUUAGGCGGUUACCGUAGGUCAAUUACAAUCCGUUAUUUUGUCGUGAUCAUAUGCCUUCGCUUCGACUACAGGAAAAGUCAAAAUCGCAAACAAGGUCGAGAGAUCAGCGACCGUUGGGAUCUUUCGAGAACACCUUCGAGAGGAAGACCCCGACGUCUUUUGUCAACUCCGACGGUCAUAAAUAUAGCGAAUAGGGAAGCGAGGCAACCUUUCCCUCGCGCCGAUAUAUUCGUAAUCUCGAAGGAAUCCAGAAAGUUGUGUUCUACAGCUAGUAUAGACAAAGUGAGGUGAAAGCGAUAGGCUAGUCCAAUUUUGAGCAUCACAGUCCUCAGCUCACGCCA